GCAAACAACUUGAACUUUUAUUUAUAAAAACUAAUAAUGCUCCUUAUUAACAGAGAAAUCAAACAGAACUCAGACGGUAGAGAAUUAUGGAGGAAUCAAGGGACCGCACUUUGAUGUAAAAGGCUAUCCUUGCACAUUGCAAUAAGAGACUGGAAAGGCGGUUUUGCCAAAGAGCCACGUUCCAGAAAGUGUGUCGCAGGGCAGGAACGGUAGAAGAGCUUGCCAUCAAGAGAUCCUUAAAGCCUUUCUUAUAGGUAACUAUUAUAAUGUUACAAUACUUUUGUUAUAGAGAGGCUCAAGGACA